GUCUUUGUAGCUUAAUAACAAAGCAUGGCACUGAAGAUGCCAAGAUGUUGUUGUACCACACCCGAAGACA
rnacentral:tRNA from 1 species